rnacentral:rRNA from 1 species
UACGUAGGGAGCAAGCGUUAUCCGGAAUUAUUGGGUGUAAAGGGUGCGUAGACGGGAAUACAAGUUGGUUGUGAAAUCCCUCGGCUUAACCGAGGAACUGCAACCAAAACUAUAUUUCUUGAGUGCGGGAGAGGAAAGCGGAAUUCCUAGUGUAGCGGUGAAAUGCGUAGAUAUUAGGAGGAACACCAGUGGCGAAGGCGGCUUUCUGGACUGUAACUGACGUUGAGGCACGAAAGUGUGGGGAGCAAACA